rnacentral:rRNA from 1 species
AAGGAUCAUUAUUGAAUAAACUUGAACAGGNUGUUUGCUGGCCCUUGUGGGUACGUGCACGCUUGUCAUCUUUAUUUCUCCAACUGUGCACAUAUUGUAGACCUGGGGAGGUGUUUUUGAUUUGUUUUCGAGUUUGGUACUGCUGCAUUCAUCAAUCAGCUUUACCUUUUUUGCAUCCUUUCCAGGUCUAUGUCCCUUUUNACAAACCCUUGAAUCUGUUUAGAAUGUAUAAUAAAGUUAAAUAUACAACUUUCAGCAACGGAUCUCUUGGCUCUCGCAUCGAUGAAGAACGCAGCGAAAUGCGAUAAGUAAUGUGAAUUGCAGAAUUCAGUGAAUCAUCGAAUCUUUGAACGCAUCUUGCGCUCCUUGGUAUUCCGAGGAGCAUGCCUGUUUGAGUGUCAUUCAAGUUCUCAAACCAUGUUGAUUGUUUUCGAUGUGGCUUGGAUAUGGGGGUUUUUUUGCAGGCCUUUCGAGGUCAGCUCCUCUGAAAUGCAUUAGUAGUAUCUGAGCAGAGAAACUACCACAGGUGUGAUAAAUUUAUCUAUGCCUGGGUGAGCUGCAUGAACAGAUUGCGCUGCUUAUAAUGAGUGGGGAACCACGUUUGAUGAAUUUGACCUCAAAUCAGGUAGGACUACCCGCUGAACUUAAGCAUAUCAAUAAGCGGAGGAAAAGAAACUAACAAGGAUUCCCCUAGUAACUGCGAGUGAAGCGGGAAAAGCUCAAAUUUGAAAUCUGGCGGUUCUUUUUGACUGUCCGAGUUGUAGUCUGGAGAAGUGUUACCUGUGCUGGACCGUGUACAAGUCUCCUGGAAUGGGGCAUCAUAGAGGGUGAGAAUCCCGUCUUUGACAUGGACUACCUGUACAUUAUGGUGCACUCUCAAAGAGUCGAGUUGUUUGGGAAUGCAGCUCAAAAUGGGUGGUAAAUGCCAUCUAAAGCUAAAUAUUGGCGAGAGACCGAUAGCGAACAAGUACCGUGAGGGAAAGAUGAAAAGAACUUUGGAAAGAGAGUUAAACAGUACGUGAAAUUGCUGAAAGGGAAACGCUUGAAGUCAGUCACGUUGGCUAGGAAUCAGCCUUGCUCUUGCUUGGUGUACUUUCUGGUCGACGGGUCAGCAUCAAUUUUGACCACUGGACAAAGUCUUUGGGAAUGUGGCAUCUUAGGAUGUGUUAUAGCCCAUUGUCGCAUACAGUGGUU